GCAUAAUAAUUUGCCUCUUAAUUAGGGGCUGGAAUGAAUGGAUAUACGAGGUUUUAGCUGUCUCUUCUUUAGUAUUAAAAAUUGGUUUUCAGGUGAAGAAACCUGAAUUUUAGUAAAGGACAAAAAGACCCUAUUGAGCUUUAUUUAAACUAGAAAUUUUUAAGAUUAACUUACUUUAUUACUUUUAUUAAAUUUGGUUGGGGCAACAAAGAAAUAUAUAAAUUUUUCUUUAUUUAUUAGAGUUAUGUUUCGUAUAAAUGAUCUAUUAUUUAUGAUAUGUAGAAAGAGUUACCAUAGGGAUAACAGGCUUUUUCUUUUGUAGAGUUCAAAUUGAUAAAAGAGU
rnacentral:rRNA from 1 species